AUACUUACCUGACAAGAUUGAUGUGACCGCAGAGGUGGUUUUCCCAGGGUGAGCCUUAUCCAUUUUACUUUGGAUGUGCUUAUCCCUAUGAUUUCCCAAAAUAUGGGAAACUUGACUGCAUGAUUUGUGGCAGUGAGGGACUGUAUUCACAUACUUCCAUG